rnacentral:rRNA from 1 species
AGUGAACGCUGGCGGUAGGCCUAACACAUGCAAGUCGAACGGCAGCACAGUAAGAGCUUGCUCUUACGGGUGGCGAGUGGCGGACGGGUGAGGAAUACAUCGGAAUCUACUUUUUCGUGGGGGAUAACGUAGGGAAACUUACGCUAAUACCGCAUACGACCUACGGGUGAAAGCAGGGGAUCUUCGGACCUUGCGCGAUUCAAUGAGCCGAUGUCGGAUUAGCUAGUUGGCGGGGUAAAGGCCCACCAAGGCGACGAUCCGUAGCUGGUCUGAGAGGAUGAUCAGCCACACUGGGACUGAGACACGGUCCAGACUCCUACGGGAGGCAGCAGUGGGGAAUAUUGGACAAUGGGCGCAAGCCUGAUCCAGCCAUACCGCGUGGGUGAAGAAGGCCUUCGGGUUGUAAAGCCCUUUUGUUGGGAAAGAAAAGCAGCAGGUUAAUACCCCGCUGUUCUGACGGUACCCAAAGAAUAAGCACCGGCUAACUUCGUG